AUUGAACGCUGGCGGCAGGCCUAACACAUGCAAGUCGAACGAGUGGCGGACGGGUGAGUAAUGUCUGGGAAACUGCCCGAUGGAGGGGGAUAACUACUGGACACGGUAGCUAAUACCGCAUACCCUCGGAUGUGCCCAGAUGGGUUUAGCUAGUAGGUGGGGUAAUGGCUCACCUAGGCGACGAUCCCUAGCUGGUCUGGGAGGCUGACCAGCCCGACUGGCACUGAGACACGGUCCAGACUCCUACGGGAGGCAGCAGGUGGGAAUAUUGCACAAUGGGCGCAGGACUGAUGCAGCCAUGCCGCGUGUAUGAAGAAGGCCUUCGGGUUGUAAAGUACUUUCAGCGAGGAGGCGUUACUCGCAGAAGAAGCACCGGCUAACUCCGUGCCAGCAGCCGCGGUAAUUC
rnacentral:rRNA from 1 species